rnacentral:rRNA from 1 species
GACGAACGCUGGCGGCGCGCUUAACACAUGCAAGUCGAACGGAAAGGCCUGCUUUCCCUUGUGGAUUGCGGGUACUCGAGUGGCGAACGGGUGAGUAACACGUGAGUGAUCUGCCCCCAACUUGGGUAUAAGCCUGGGAAACUGGGUCUAAUUCCCGAUAGGACUGCAGGGUGGUGCCUGUGGUGGAAAACGAUUUUCUAGUGGUUGGGGAUGAGCUCGCGGCCUAUCAGCUUGUUGGUGGGGUAAUGGCCUACCAAGGCGGCGACGGGUAGCCGGCCUGGGAGGGUGGACGGGCACAUUGGGACUGGGAUACGGCCCAGACUCCUACGGGAGGCAGCAGUGGGGAAUAUGACACAAUGGGCGGAAGCCUGAUGCAGCGACGCCGCGUGGGGGAUGACGGCCUUCGGGUUGUAAACUCCUUUCGACCGCGAGGAAGCCACCUGGUUGGAAGGGUGGUGACGGUAGUGGUAGAAGAAGCACCGGCUAACUACGUG